rnacentral:misc_RNA from 1 species
AAUUGAUGCUGUGAAUUUAGCUUUUGCAUUUGAACUUACAGAGCAGUUCUCUCCGGUGCCAUUGCUGAAGUCCUAUCUAAAGGAGGCAAAGAAAGUGUCUUCACCAGUCAAACCUGGAAAUGCAUCCCAUACUGCACAGAAUGAUGUUAGUGACAGAGAGCUGACCGCCCUUAAGGCCGUAAUCAAGUGCAUUGAAGAGCACAAGCUUGAAGAGCAAUAUCCUGUCGACCCUCUUCAGAAACGGGUCAUCCAACUCGAGAAAGCUAAGGCUGACAAGAAACGGGUGACCGAG